AGAACGAACGCUGGCGGCAUGCCUAAUACAUGCAAGUCGAACGAACACUUCGGUGUUAGUGGCGCACGGGUGCGUAACGCGUGGGAAUCUGCCCUUGGGUUCGGAAUAACAGUUGGAAACGACUGCUAAUACCGGAUGAUAUCGAAAGAUCAAAGAUUUAUCGCCCAGGGAUGAGCCCGCGUAGGAUUAGCUAGUUGGUGAGGUAAAGGCUCACCAAGGCGACGAUCCUUAGCUGGUCUGAGAGGAUGAUCAGCCACACUGGGACUGAGACACGGCCCAGACUCCUACGGGAGGCAGCAGUAGGGAAUAUUGGACAAGUGGGCGCAAGCCUGAUCCAGCAAUGCCGCGUGAGUGAUGAAGG
rnacentral:rRNA from 1 species